AGGGGUCCUACACAAAUCAAAACCGAAACAAGGGGCACUGUUUCCAUGUUUCAGGAGUCACAGACAAUAUGCCCCUUAAAGUGGUGGGAACUUUCUCAGGGAGCAUCACAAACGACUGUGUGGCCAUGGAACAAGACAGCGGCCAGGUCCAGGACUUAGGCAAAAGGCUAAAAAGUCACUUCAAAUCCAGACCUGCCAAUCACGUGGUGUAUUUACCAAAAUGGACUGAAGUGAUGACAUUACUCCUCUAAACCCAAAUUUGUAUAUUCUUUAAAAAAAUUUUUAUUUACUUAUUUAUUUGUUUAUUUAUUUUGAAGUACAGUCAGUUACAAUGUGUCAAUUUCUGGUGUACAGCACAGUGUCCCAGUCAUGCAUAUCAAAUUUGUACAUUCUUAAUAUUGGUUUUCACACACUUAAGAAAAACAUUUUGCAGGGGAAGAAAAAUUUCUGCAAUAAAAUACACCGUCUUUUAAAAUAGUGUCAUUACUUACAGCUUACCUUUACACUGCACCCUACCAAGUACUUUUACAUAAGUACACAAUCUCAUUUGUACUAUCACAUGAAUUAUCACCCUAUUUUAAAGUGAAACAAAUUCAGAUUUGUAUUCAUUCAUUUAAAAAAUAUUCAUUGAGCACCUAAAUUCCAGACAGUGUUCAGUUACACUACAUCCCGUGAAAUAGGCUCUUCCUAUGAGAUUAUGUACAUGAAAAGUGGUUUUGAAGGGUGAAUUAUUAUUUAUAGUCUCUACUAUAUUAUAUACUGCCUUUACUACAUAUACAUAAUGCCUUAAUGAAGAUAUAAAGCAUCAUUUCCAGAAUAAGCCAAUGAUGAAAUUCAAUUAUUAUAAAAUUAGUUUUACUCAUAACAACAGUAAUAUACCUACAGUUUAUUGAGUAGCCACAAGUGCCAAGCACUGAGGCCAAGCCCUUUUCAUAUGUUCUCAUUUCAUCUAUAGAAUUAUCCUGUGAAAAAGGCAGCAGCAUCCUGUAUUGCAGAUAAGAAAACUGAGGCUUAAAACAGGCAUACCUCGGAGAUAUUGUGGGUUCGGUUCCAGACCAUGGCAGUGAAGCCUAUAUCACAAUAAAGUGAGUUACAUGAAUUUUUUGGUUUCCCAGUGCAUAUUAAAGUUAUAUUUACACUAUCCUGUGGUCUAUUAAGUGUGCAGUAGCACUGUCUUAAAAAAGUAUAUUAUGAAUAAAAAAUACUUUAUUGCUAAAAAA